rnacentral:rRNA from 1 species
GACGAACGCUGGCGGCGUGCCUAAUACAUGCAAGUCGAGCGGAGUUAUUGGGGAGCUUGCUCCUGAAUAACUUAGCGGCGAACGGGUGAGUAACACGUGGGUAACCUGCCCCAAAGCGGGGGAUAACAUUUGGAAACAGAUGCUAAUACCGCAUAACCACAGAAACCACAUGGUUUCUGUGUCAAAGAUGGUUUCGGCUAUCACUUGGGGAUGGACCCGCGGCGUAUUAGCUAGUUGGUAAGGUAAUGGCUUACCAAGGCAAUGAUACGUAGCCGAACUGAGAGGUUGAUCGGCCACAUUGGGACUGAGACACGGCCCAAACUCCUACGGGAGGCAGCAGUAGGGAAUCUUCCACAAUGGACGAAAGUCUGAUGGAGCAACGCCGCGUGAGUGAAGAAGGUUUUCGGAUCGUAAAACUCUGUUGUCAGAGAAGAACGUGUGCGAGAGUAACUGCUCGUGCAGUGACGGUAUCUGGCCAGAAAGCCACGGCUAACUACGUGCCAGCCGCCGCAGUAA